CCUUAAAUAGCUUAUUAAGCAUUAGAUUUUUAAUUUAAAGAUAAGAAUAAAUAAAUUAUUGUUUUUGAGGG
rnacentral:tRNA from 1 species